CUGGAACUUGGAACUGGAGUAUCAGCUUUCUGCUUCUUAGCAGAAUGAAACUGAGCACAUCACUUUAACUCAGCAGAGGGCUGGUGGCUGCCGAGUCCUCCACAGCAAGGGCCGCUCCAGCAUUUCCCAGCCAACGUGGAUGGCAUGAAGUGAAGUGCAGAGAGUGAAGAGGAAGGGAUCACCUUUCAGUUUGCUUCAAUUGGCUAAAUGGGGGACAGUUUUGUGACUUCAAGGAUUGUCUAUCAUAGGCUGAAAUGAGAGCUGACGUGAAACUGCACAGCCAGUGCCUGGCAUGUUUCGUAAAGGGCUACCAGUGAGGAAAGAGGUAAGGAUGGGGGAUGGUGACACUUGGGCGGAGGGCAGACUGGACUUUCAGACUGGCAUGAUGAGGAAAAGGAGGAUCUGCAUUUGGGAAUUUCACAACGUAGCAUGCAUUUUAGUUCCAUAGCAGUGGCUACUCCAGCAUUUCCCAAUCAACACGGAUGGCAUGGGGGUGACCACUUGCACAUACCAGUGCAUUGGUUGACUGCACCAGGAUUGGCCCUUGAACCAAGUUGGGGCAAUCAAGGUUCAGGUCUUGGAAUUGUGAGACUGAAAAAGUGGAAAAGUGAAAGAAGAAAGAUUUCAGAAAGUGGCUGACUGGUUCCUGCCUGUAGAGACCAGAAACCUGCAGACCUGUGGGGCAGCUGCACUUCCCACCUGAGAAGGCAAGGAAGCUGGUUUGCAGAGAAAGAGAGAACAAAUGAGAUAGAGAGAGAGGGAGGGGGACAGAAAGUCCUGCCCCUCUGGGUCCUGGUUCCUGUCCUUUCCUGGCCUGGCUAUCCCUUGCCCAUGGGCUUCUCAAUCCCUAGAAUUAUCCCUCCUUUUUACCACAAGCGACCUCUAGUCGAUGCCUCUCACUUGCCAUCUCCAGUGCUUCACCCAUCUUUUAAGGCAGAGAGAAUUAUACAUGAUGGGUGACAUCUAUAUCCAGGAAUUUCUGGUUUAGGAUGUAGAGGAGCUGACAUUCAGCCAUAUGGACUGAAUUGCACUUCCUCACUAAAAUUCACUGUGAUGCUGGAAAUAGCAAAUCAGGGCACGCUAAAAGAAAAGAAGCUGUGGUGCCUGGUAGCGGUGUCUCCAUGCAGCCUUGACAUUUUAAUUAAUUUUUAGUAGAUGAGCUAUUUCUUCGUUUUCCCCAGCAUUAGCCUGACUGGCUUAGAUGAAAGGAGAAAUUAUUUUUCAUAGAAUCCAACUAAAUUAUGGGCAAAGUAGCUACAGAGCUGAAACUCAAGAAUAACUGAGAAGAGGUCUGUAGACAGCCCGAGGGCCGCUUGGUGUCUUGGCGGACGCCCUGUCUCUGUUUCUCCUCUGUGAGGGCUUCAUCCUUUCAGGUUUCUCCAUUCCCAGCCCAGCUGCAGACAGCUCCUUAGCCCUGGAACGCAGUCUGUCAGGCUGCCCUCCACAGGCUCUGGGAAGCCAUUUCUCCUGUUUACCCUGCAGUAUGCAUCCAUUUUUGGACCAUCCACUCAUGCCAGGGCAGUCUGAGUACUAUGAUAGUUCUCUAUGGGUGAAGAACUAACUCCAAGAUCAGCUCACUGUGGCAUAGGGGCCAAUGUUAUAAAAGAGCGUUUUGGAAGAGAGUCACUUUCUCAGAGAGAUGCUGGCCACGGUGGUGCACAGCUGUAAUCUCAGCACUCUGGGAGGCUGAAGCAGGAGGAUCAUAAGUUCAAGUCCAGCCUGGGUACUUUAUGGAUUUAGACUCUGUCUCAAAAUAAAAAAUAACAAAGGGCUAGGGAGGUAGCUCAGUGGAAAGAACCUUAGCUCACUGUACACUAAGCACUGAUCUAUGAUAUUCUAAAAAUGAAAACGAGCUCAGUAUUAGUUUCAUAAAUUAUCAUGUUAAGCUUCAAAAUAAACAG
rnacentral:lncRNA from 1 species